AUUGAACGCUGGCGGCAGGCCUAACACAUGCAAGUCGAGCGGAGCGGCGGACGGGUGAGUAAUGCCUAGGAAUCUGCCUGGUAGUGGGGGAUAACGUCCGGAAACGGGCGCUAAUACCGCAUACUAUCAGAUGAGCCUAUGUCGGAUUAGCUAGUUGGUGGGGUAAAGGCCUACCAAGGCGACGAUCCGUAACUGGUCUGAGAGGAUGAUCAGUCACAGUGGAACUGAGACACGGUCCAGACUCCUAAGGGAGGGAGCAGUGGGGAAUAUUGGACAAUGGGCGAAAUCCUGAUCCGGCCAUGCCGGGUGGGUGAAGAAGGUGUUGGGAUUGUCAAGCACUUUAAGUUGGGAGGCGGUACCAACAGAAUAAGCAUCGGCUAACUUCGUGCCAGCCGCCGCGGUAAUAC
rnacentral:rRNA from 1 species